rnacentral:rRNA from 1 species
CCUACGGGAGGCUGCAGUGAGGAAUAUUGGUCAAUGGGCGCUAGCCUGAACCAGCCAAGUAGCGUGAAGGAUGACUGCCCUAUGGGUUGUAAACUUCUUUUAUAUGGGAAUAAAGUGCAGUAUGUAUACUGCUUUGCAUGUACCUUAUGAAUAAGGAUCGGCUAACUCCGUGCCAGCAGCCGCGGUAAUACGGAGGAUCCGAGCGUUAUCCGGAUUUAUUGGGUUUAAAGGGAGCGUAGGCGGGUUGUUAAGUCAGUUGUGAAAGUUUGCGGCUCAACCGUAAAAUUGCAGUUGAUACUGGCAGCCUUGAGUACAGUAGAGGUAGGCGGAAUGCGUGGUGUAGCGGUGAAAUGCUUAGAUAUCACGAAGAACUCCGAUUGCGAAGGCAGCCUGCUGGACUGUAACUGACGCUGAUGCUCGAAAGUGUGGGUAUCAAACAGGAUUAGAUACCCCUGUAGUC